GACAGAGGGGGCAAGCGUUGCUCGGAAUCACUGGGCGUAAAGGGCGCGUAGGCGGGAUGGCAAGUCGGUCGUGAAUCCCUGGGCUCAACUCAGGGGGGUAGGCCGAUACUGCCGUUCUUGAGGGAUGCAGAGGAGACUGGAAUUCCCGGUGUAGCGGUGAAAUGUGUAGAGAUCGGGAGGAACACCGGUGGCGAAGGCGGGUCUCUGGGCAUUCCCUGACGCUGAGGCGCGAAAGCGUGGGGAGCAAACGGG
rnacentral:rRNA from 1 species